UAUCUUGGUCUUUUUCAGGGUUAUCAAGCCCCACCUUGGCAGCCUCCACCUUCUGCACAGGUGGGCUUGUAUGUUGGCUCCCCUGGCCCGCAGGGCUCUGGCUACCCUGGCAGUCCAGGGGCUCGUCCUUACCCUCCUCCUCCUCCACCCCGCAAUGGCUACCCUGG